AGAACUCGCCGCUGGCCUGCGAGUGACGACCGAGCAGCACCUGCAGCGCAACGUCCUGGAGCGGUUGCUACACCGCGGCCGUUAGCGCUGUUGGGCCAACCGGAGAUGCUGUCGUCAAGCACAUCUGCUUUGGGGCUGGAACUACCACUGUAUUUGGCCUCUUAAAAAAAUAAUUUGUGACAAAUCUGCAAAAAGAAAUACACUUACCCUAGAAGGAUAUCUGGUGUAUGGCCAGAUAAUGACAGCACCACAGCUACUGUCUGGAAAUUACCAGAAUCAAGAAGCUGCCACUUCCACAGCCAGCUCCAGAAUUUCACCAUACUAACUGUAAUCUGAACCAGCACAAUGGAUGUACCACCCAUGCUUCCUGAUGUUCACAAAGAUUAAGAGAACUGAAGAUAGCUAUAAUCAACUUACAUAUCACCAAGUCAACUCUUCUGUUGAAGAUUUGCAGUGAGAAAAGAAAGUGCUAAUAAGCAUAUUAUCUCAACCUAAAAGAAAAGUCCUAAGACGGCUUCAGCUGUUCCGCUAGUGACACCAAAAUGGCCACAGGAAGGGAGAAGAAAGAAAGUAAGUCUGUAUUAUUGUUUCUGUAGUACGGUGCUUUUUGUAGAAAAGAAACGAAAAUUUACAAAAAUGGUAUUUGGAAAUGUUUCUGCAAUGUGUACAUCUGCGGUUCAGACAUUAUAUAUACAUAUAUGUUUGGGAGUUUUGAAGGUUUGGUUUGGUUUGGUUUGGUUUUGUCCUGCAAACAGUAAGACAAACUCUAGUCCUUUUGAACUAGAUAGGGCAACAGUCCUACCGAAUCAAAUUGAAUUCUUUUCACAGUGGUAAUUGUCCAGUGAGCAAGGAAAAGAGAGAAUUUUAUAACUACAGCCCUAUAUGGAGAGCAGUCUUAUGUGCAUUGUGGUAUGUGGUUGAAUGGUCAGGGCACCUUGGUUAUUGUAUACCCAGGAAAGGAGGGUAAAGAAAACUAGGAUCACCAAAGAUAAAUUUCACCUCCUUCACAACUUUAAAAGGUUAACUCAUUGCCAGUGACCUCCAGAUUAUCAUGCCCCAGUCUUAGAGAUUCAAAUAUAGGAAAGAGAAGAAUGGAUUAAAGAAGACAAUUUAGAAAUGAAAUGGAUUGAACCAUCAAGUCUCUGUUGAUUGCUAUUUAUUUCUUGGUAUUUUGGAGGGAUGAGUUAUAAUAUGCCAGACUUCACAGUUCAAUACUGGGACAGAUACACUGACUUAUGAUUCAACUGACAACAUUGCCACAUUGUGGAAGAAUCUUAUUUCUUAGACACCCACGGCUAAAAAUUUCAGUUCUCUUCUUCUGCAGUUUCAGCUGUAAGUACAGCCACUCAGCUAAAGACUAUGAUUCCCAGCCUCCCUUGCAGCUAGGCAUGGCACAUGAGAAAGUUCUUGCAAAUGGAAUAUGAAUAGGAAUGAUGGUG
rnacentral:lncRNA from 1 species